CCCGGUGGCUAUAGAGAGAGGGUCACACCUGUUCCCAUUCCGAACACAGAAGUUAAGCCUCUCAUCGCUGAUGGUACUGCAUG
rnacentral:rRNA from 1 species